AUCGCUUCUCGGCCUUUUGGCUAAGAUCAAGUGUAGUAUCUGUUCUUAUCAGUUUGGAUUUUACUACGGAUUUACACGGAUUUUACGCUGAAGAGAAUUGCUGCGCUUGGGCUUUUUUAUAGCUUUUAGCGAGACCAAGGGUGAUCCUAU
ensembl:snRNA U2 U2 spliceosomal RNA